rnacentral:lncRNA from 1 species
AGCCACGCUCCGCCCGCCCGUGCCGCAGCCGUGAGCGCGGACCGACCGGAGCCGGAGCCGCCGCCUGGCCGCGCCCGCGCCGCCCCCGCCGCCACUCCUGCCCCCGGGGCGCCCGCAGCGGGACACGCGCGCAGGUAACGCGGGCGGGCGCGGAGCCUCCACGGCGAGCUCGGCUCGGCUUAACUCGGCUCGGCUCAGGUCGGUUCCCGGCUCAGCUGGGCGCAGCUCAGCUCUCCUCCCCUCGCGGGGCGGCCGCGCAAGUUUGCGCGGGGCUCCGCCCUGCCACCGAGUGCGCGGGGAUGCGGGAGCGCAGCGGCCUCGGCACUGGCGGUGUCGCGGCGGCCGCGGGGCGGCCGGGGCUCGGGCGGAGAACGGGAGCCCGGUUUCGGACGCGGGGCGGUGCAGAGUGGUUCCCAAGAGAAAGGUCAUCCAAGAUUGUAAAUCAUUCACAGCUAUAAAGAUUAAUUGCCCUGUUACAAGGAUUGAACUGACUGGACUGUACAAGGACCAGCCAGCCAGAGAUAACUUAAUAGUAAAUAUUCAAAACUACCUUGGAUCCUGCCACAAAACUGCAGUCUCUACUGCUUCAAGCAUUCCACUGAAACUACAGGAGACCUAGGCAAGCCCACACAGAGCUCCCACAGGUGUAGCUGAGCACCGUCAGGAAUGUGUGGUGUGCAGACCAGCAUUACAGAACGGGGACCUCGUUUGCUUGACUGAUAGAUGCAGGACGUGAAAGUCAUCCAACUUUUGGAGCUGACAGCUAGAAAACCUCCAGCAGGUACCUUCAGAUUGACUAAAUCUGAGCUUUGAAAACAGGUGCAAGAGCACCCUGGCACUGUUGUGCAUUUAAUUUAGAAAUAUGCUUUAAAUAUGAGGUGAAAGUUUUGAAAAGAAUGUGUAUUACUUAAUUCUGUUUUCCACAGUGGGAGUUUCAGGAAUUUCCAUUCCCCUGAAAGUUAAGGCCACAUGCUGCAUGGGGAUUGACCAACCAAUAUAGGAGAGGGUGAGCAAACCUCUGAGAAUAGAAGCAAGAAGAUAAAUUAAAGCAGGAAGAUAAAUGCCAAUAAGAGCACAUUUGUGAAAUCAGUGGCAAGCUAAGAUGAGUUUGGGUACUAGAGAUCAAUGAUAUGGGAGGAUAACUUCUGUUUGCAUCUUUACUGCUGCUGGCACUCAGACUGACAGCAGCUGGUUUCUUUUUGAGCAGGAGAGAAAGCUCAGAGAGCAAGAAAUCCACUUGGCAUGUUUUGAAAUUAGAGGGGAAAGUCUGCUUUCUUUUUAUGCACCCAAAAUUAAAAUGAAAUUCUCUGGGUAUUUUGCAAAGGGAACUUGUCUCAGCACAGCAGUUGUCUGUUGAAACCAGCAGAUUAUACUGUUAUUCCUUCCCUCUCUGUCUCUGAAACUGUGACUAUAGGAAGAUGGUGCAGAAGGGGUUUCUGAGCACCACAGACCUUUGUGGGGCCCUGGGUGUCCAACCAGGGUCUGAAGAGAUCGUGUUGUGACUUUUUCCAGUGCUCCUUCCUCAUGGAAAUGAGGACACAUGGUAGGGAAGAGCUCGUCUCUCACCUGAGGCAGAAGGCUGCUGUAGCACAGAAGGAAUGGAGCGGGUGAGCCUAUGCUGGAAUUCAGAGGCACUCCUGCUAAACUUCUUCAGUACUGAUGCAUCUCAACAAAAUAUGUCUACUUCAGAAAACCAGAAUAUUCACUUCUUGCUUUUAGAGAAUUCUGUUGAAAACACAAUGAACCCUUCUGCUAAAUCCAUACUGAAGGAGCUUUAUGUGGAGGUGUAGAAAUCAACAAAACCUGGAAACAGUCUUUCAUUUAAACUUUCAAGAAGAAUUCAGUAAACAUUAAACAUGUUACAAUAUAACACUACAUAAAAUUUUGUUCCUUGUUCCUAUUCUUAACAUUUUAUUGCUUUAUCCAGGGCAAAAGUUAUGUAGAAAAAGUUAUGUAGAGUUACAUUUAGGAAACAGAAAAAUUUCAGCAGAUUUGGGAAGAUCAUACCAUUUUCAGCUGGUUACUAGCAACUCAGAAAUUAGCUCAGAAAAGUUAAGUAAAAACCUAUUAAUUUCAUCAGCUAAGAGUUGUAUAAAGAGAAGCCCACCAAAAUGAACACUUGUGAUAAUACCAAUAGAAAUAGAGAUUAGAUCACUCACAGAAUCUCUAGUCUGCUCCUUUAAAGUUGGUCUAGAGGCAAAUGUAGUCUCAGAUAGCAUUGUUUAUCUAUUAUAUGGUUUUCCACCAUUUCAUUAAAGACUAGAAGAAACUGAACAGAAAUAAUACGCAUUAAUGCCUCUGCUUAUAUGCACACAAUUAUAAUAUUUAGGUUAUCCAAUUUCAUGUAUUCAGUUCUUAAUUCUAUUUUAGCUGUUAAAAAGCACUUUAACAUUGAGGUAAAUGGGGAAGGCUGACUUCUUUUCACCUCUUUCCAACAUAUAACCUGCAAGAUCUUUUUUUAUAAAUAUAUGCAUAUAUAUACUCUUACUUGGAGGACGUUCACAUCACAAUACAGUUAGUGAACAUUCUCAGGUUGUUUUAUGGUUUGAGCUUCCCUUUGGCUCAAACCACAACAUUAGGAACACACAUGAUAUAAAGGAAGGAGCAUAUCUGCAUGUGUGGAGGGAAACAAAUAAUAUUAUUGCAUUUUGAAAAUGUCAGCAGGGUACAGCUCACUGAGGAUUGCUACUGUCUUGAAGAGCCCUACCUUUUUUAGAUGAUGGUUAUAGCCUUCUGCUCUAUUUAUGUAUGCUUUGGGUUUGUAGAUCUUUUUUGUUUUCUCUUAUGUAAGAUUUCUAAACAUUAAGGAGUUUUGUAGAGGACAUUGGCACUCCAGGGAAUUUUGACUUUGAAACUAUAGUACACACAGGUGUUUUAAGAUAAAUGGAGGUUUGAACUGAAUUCUCAUGUCUUUCUGUUUGUUCUAAAAUGAAGACUAAUAUAUGAAGAUUCAGUAGGCAGAAUAACUUUGUGCUGAGCUAGGUUUAACACUAGAUGAUUCUGUGCUGAAUAAGUGGCAGUUCACUGAAAUUUUCAAAUGGCUCUGUGGAGUUUGCUUCCAGUUAACGCUGUCCUCUCUAUAUUACAUCCAAUUACUUUAGGUGUUUUUUAGUUUUCCUUUCUGCGUGAGCACAGUUCUACUAUAUUCAGCACUUAGUAGAAGAUGUUUUCUAUACAUACCACAUUAGGAAUUCCAUCUUGGAUUACUGCCGGUGGAUUUUCUGAUCCUUUUUGAAAGCUCUUACCUAUUUUGUGUUAGUUCACUACUAGCAAGGUAAGAAAUACUACUGCAGUUGUUAGCAUAUGUAUUUUCAGGUGGCUUCUUUAUAAUUUGCAAUGAUAUAAUGAUUAGGCAUCUGCCCAGAUGGUGACUGUAAUUUCCUUACUCAUAUCAAUGGGCUGUUAUUCACAUGAGUAAUCUCACCGACUCGAGGUGUAUUGCUUUUGUAGCUAACUGUUCCCUCAUGGAAAGCCUGACAAUAUGUUCUCUAGCAAAGGACAUUUAAAAGGCAGCAUCAUAAUGCACACCUGUAAAUUGCUAUUCUCCCAUGUGAGCAUCUAGGUAGGAGGCCUAGGAGUGCUGAACACCAAAUGAUAAAACCUACUUAGUUAAUUCAUGUUGACCUGAAGUUAUGCAGGAUCUGCCUCACAAUAGACUAACAUCACUAGUAAUUUAUUUGCAUUGAGGUGAUACAAGGUACAAAAAUUCAUGUAUUUUUUACACUGAUUAACAGCAAUAUCAUCAUUUCUUGAGAUGUUAAUUAAUGCCUUUCUU